GGCGCCCCAAAUGGAUAAGAACCAAAGAGUCCUAAUAAACAUGGACUCUUUGGUGCCACCUUGAUUGAGCUUAUCCAAUGUUGGCGCCAACUUAGGAGAGAGGGUGGGGUUCUUAUUUGAUAUGAUUAGAUGACAUCACUCCACCAAUCAAAAUUUUUUUAAAAUAUAUUAAAAUUUUUUGAUUGGUUGAAUGAUGUGGCACUGCGCAGCAUACAGGGUCUAUAUAAACCCUGCUGCACCUAGGGUUUCGGGGAAA
rnacentral:lncRNA from 1 species